CUCGGAUUGCCCGUCGACGGCUCGCCCGCCCUGGCACUGCGCCGAGCGAGGAGGGGCGGCGGCGUCUAGGGUUGGGUGGGGGCGGCGCCUGAGGUGUGGUGGGGGCGGCGGCGGAGGUGCGGUGAGAGCGGCGCCGGAGGCGGGCGAGAUCGAGGGGGGCGGGACUAGGGCACGGGCACGGGGGGAAGGGGUUGGGUGGCCUCGGGGCCUCGGGAGGUAAAACGCGAUGGGUCGCGAAAGGACGGAAACGCCCCCGGGUUGGUGCGCGGGGCGCGAGCGGGCGGGGGCCGUUUCGGGAUUUCGCGUGGGGGGGCGUUUAGUGGAAUCUGCCGGGAUUGCGGUACAGUCAGUACGGCGGCUGCUGGCUGCGACAGGAUCCGGCGAGCUCAGUCUGGCCGGCGACGAGAUUGGCCGCGGAUCCGGAGCUAGCCGGGAGCCCGGGCUUCCGUGGAGGGAGGGAGGAGGAGGAUGGCGGCGGGUGUGGGCGGCGGCGGUGGUGGGCGGUGUGCGCGCGCGGCGGCGGUGGCAGCCGAUGUGGGCGGCGGCGGCGGCGGCGGAUGGGGAUG
rnacentral:lncRNA from 1 species